rnacentral:rRNA from 1 species
AACGAACGCUGGCGGCGCGUCUUAAGCAUGCAAGUCGAACGGCAAGAGAGGAGCUUGCUUCUCUCCUAGAGUGGCGGACUGGUGAGGAACACGUGGGUAAUCUACCCUUAAGAUGGGGAUAGCUGCUAGAAAUAGCAGGUAAUACCGAAUACACUCGGCAUAUCACAAGAGGUGUUGAGGAAAGGAAGCUACGGCUUCGCUUGAGGAUGAGCUUGCGUCCCAUUAGCUAGUUGGUGAGGUAAAGGCCCACCAAGGCGACGAUGGGUAUCCGGCCUGAGAGGGUGAACGGACACAUUGGGACUGAGAUACGGCCCAAACUCCUACGGGAGGCAGCAGCUAAGAAUAUUCCGCAAUGGACGGAAGUCUGACGGAGCGACGCCGCGUGGAUGAAGAAGGCUGAAAAGUUGUAAAAUCCUUUUGUUGAUGAAGAAUAAGGGUGAGAGGGAAUGCUCAUCUGAUGACAGUAAUCGACGAAUAAGCCCCGGCUAAUUACGUG